UACGUAGGGUGCGAGCGUUAAUCGGAAUUACUGGGCGUAAAGCGUGCGCAGGCGGUGAUGUAAGACAGAUGUGAAAUCCCCGGGCUUAACCUGGGAACUGCAUUUGUGACUGCAUCGCUGGAGUGCGGCAGAGGGGGAUGGAAUUCCGCGUGUAGCAGUGAAAUGCGUAGAUAUGCGGAGGAACACCGAUGGCGAAGGCAAUCCCCUGGGCCUGCACUGACGCUCAUGCACGAAAGCGUGGGGAGCAAACAGG
rnacentral:rRNA from 1 species